rnacentral:miRNA from 1 species
AGCAUUUUUACACCUCAGGAC